rnacentral:rRNA from 1 species
CCUACGGGAGGCAGCAGUAGGGAAUAUUGCUCAAUGGGGGAAACCCUGAAGCAGCAACGCCGCGUGGAGGAUGAAGGUUUUCGGAUUGUAAACUCUUUUUGUUAGAGAAGAUAAUGACGGUAUCUAACGAAUAAGCACCGGCUAACUACGUGCCAGCAGCCGCGGUAAUACGGAGGGUGCAAGCGUUACUCGGAAUCACUGGGCGUAAAGAGCGCGUAGGCGGGAUAGCAAGUCAGAUGUGAAAACCUAUGGCGUAACCAUAGAACUGCAGUUGAAACUGUUAUUCUAGAGUAUGGGAGAGGUAGGUGGAAUGUUUAGUGUAGGGGUAAAAUCCGUAGAGAUCAAGCGGAAUACUCAUUGCGAAGGCGACCUGCUAGAACAUAACUGACGCUGAUGCGCGAAAGCGUGGGGAGCGAACAGGAUUAGAUACCCGUGUAGUC